CAACAAAACAUAUUCACGAAAGGUGUUUUGAAUUAAUUUUAUGUAUUGUAAUUAAUAAGUGACAUCUUUUUCAGGUUAUAACGACUACUACUUUAUGUUAGCGCAUUGAAUGGGUUACGCAAGCGGUAAUUGUGGUGGAGGACCUUAGUUGCCAUCUUCCGAAGUGUGGAUUUUGAAUACCAUACAUACAACGUAGACGGACAAUCAAUGACAGCUGCUUCUCUGGAUGCAGAAUAUUAACGUUCAACAAUAUUUACGAACGAAAAUUUAUUAAAACGGUAGAAUUAUGCAAUAAAUUGCACAAGGAGUUCUUUGACUCAGUAACGCUCGUUCUAGAUGUGAAGGAAACGUAAAUCGUCGAAAGACAUCUCUGAGGAGCAAAGGA